rnacentral:rRNA from 1 species
AUCCGGAAAUAGCUGGUUCUCUCCGAAAGCUAUUUAGGUAGUGCCUCGUAUAUCACUCCUGGGGGUAGAGCACUGUUAUGGCUAGGGGGCCGUUUAGGUCUACCAAACCAUUGCAAACUCCGAAUACCGGGAAGUGUGAGUACGGGAGACAGACAUCGGGUGCUAACGUCCGGUGUCGAGAGGGAAACAACCCAGACCCUCAGCUAAGGCCCCCCAGACGUGGUUAAGUGGGAAACGAAGUGGGAAGGCUUAGACAGCCAGGAGGUUGGCUUAGAAGCAGCCACCCUUUAAAGAAAGCGNNNNNNNNNNCGUAGUUGGUAUGGUUUUUAAUGCAUGUUGUUGGGCUAUUACGACGCCCCCAUUUAAGCAACCGGUAUUCGCUCCAGGGUGUCUCGUCCUGCGCGGAAAAUGUAACGGGGCUCAAACCACGCGCCGAAGCUAGGGGUGUGUGCAAUCCACUUGAGUAUGUUCAAGCGAUGCGAAGAGCGUACUGAAGGGAUUGCGCACGCGGUAGGAGAGCGUUCCGUAGGCCUGUGAAGGUGGCUCGUGAGGGCUCACUGGAGGUAUC